rnacentral:rRNA from 1 species
UACGGAGAGUGCAAACGUUAUCCGGAUUCACUGGGUUUAAAGGGUGCGUAGGCGGGUAAGUAAGUCCGUGGUGAAAUCUCUGAGCUUAACUCAGAAACUGCCGUGGAUACUAUUUGCCUUGAAUAUUGUGGAGGUGAGCGGAAUAUGUCAUGUAGCGGUGAAAUGCUUAGAUAUGACAUAGAACACCAAUUGCGAAGGCAGCUCACUACACAAUCAUUGACGCUGAGGCACGAAAGCGUGGGGAUCAAACAGG